rnacentral:rRNA from 1 species
GUGCAGCAGGCGCGAAAACUUUACAAUGCCGGCAACGGCGAUAAGGGGACCUCGAGUGCCAGGUUACAAAUCUGGCUGUCGUGAUGCCUAAAAAGCAUUGCAUAGCAAGGGCCGGGCAAGACCGGUGCCAGCCGCCGCGGUAACACCGGCGGCUCGAGUGGUAACCGUUAUUAUUGGGUCUAAAGGGUCUGUAGCCGGCCGGAUAAGUCUCUUGAGAAAUCCAGCAGCUCAACUGUUGGGCUUUCAGGAGAUACUGUUCGGCUCGAGGCCGGGAGAGGUGAGAGGUACUUCAGGGGUAGGGGUGAAAUCUUGUAAUCCUUGAAGGACCACCAGUGGCGAAGGCGUCUCACCAGAACGGACCUGACGGCAAGGGACGAAAGCUAGGGGCACGAACCGGAUUAGAUACCCGGGUAGUCCUAGCCGUAAACGAUACUCGCUAGGUGUCGGCCACGGUGCGACCGUUGUCGGUGCCGUAGGGAAGCCGUGAAGCGAGC